rnacentral:lncRNA from 1 species
GCUGAGUACCCAGGUGCUCAAUAGGGAAAUUACCCUAUGGCACUGGGGAGCCACGGAAGGGACUGAACAGAGCAGGAAUCUCUCAUCUUCACUAGUUCCUCUUCUCCCCCAGUACAUCAUCCUGUGCUCGGAAAUCCCAAAGCUCCCCGCAGUCUCCUUCCUUCUUGGGGGGGUCUGGUUUAACCUCACGGCCCAUGAUUACGUCAUCCAGACUACUCGAAAUGGCGUCCGCCUCUGCUUGUCCGGUUUCCAGGCCCUGGAUGUCCCUCCGCCUGCAGGGCCCUUCUGGAUCCUCGGUGACGUCUUCUUGGGGACGUAUGUGGCCGUCUUCGACCGCGGGGACAUGAAGAGCAGCGCCCGGGUGGGCCUGGCGCGCGCUCGCACUCGCGGAGCGGACCUCGGAUGGGGAGAGACUGCGCAGGCGCAGUUCCCCGGGUGACGCCCAAGUGAAGCGCAUGCGCAGCGGGUGGUCGCGGAGGUCCUGCUACCCAGUAAAAAUCCACUAUUUCCAUUG